rnacentral:lncRNA from 1 species
UCACUCAAUCACAGACACUUGAAAAUAGUGCAUAUCUGCUAGAGCUUUACAACUCUAUAAAUUCCUAUUCACUUUUCCUAUUAACACCUCAUCCCACACCACAAUGACUAGUCAGCUUAUUUUCCAGCUAUUGCCAACAUCACCAUCUCAGAACAACCUCCCAUACAUCUUUCCUAUUACACAUCUUUGGUAUCACGUAGAAUUUGGUUAAUAAUACAUUAACCUACCUAUUAGCUAAAAACUCAUUUUUGAUAUAGGAAGCUACUAAUAAUUCAAGCCCUUUUUAUGAAAAUACUUGAAAUUUUAUUAACUAGAACUAGCAAAUAUGAUCCAAUAAUAUAA